rnacentral:rRNA from 1 species
UACGUAGGGGCAAGCGUUGUCCGGAAUUACUGGGCGUAAAGGGCUCGUAGGCGGCCAACUAAGUCAGACGUGAAAUCCCUCGGCUUAACCGGGGAACUGCGUCUGAUACUGGAUGGCUCGAGUUUGGGAGAGGGAUGCGGAAUUCCAGGUGUAGCGGUGAAAUGCGUAGAUAUCUGGAGGAACACCGGUGGCGAAGGCGGCAUCCUGGACCAACACUGACGCUGAUGAGCGAAAGCCAGGGGAGCAAACGGG